rnacentral:rRNA from 1 species
CCUACCUUUAACUCUGGGAUAGCCCGAAGAAAUUCGGAUUAAUACCCGGAUAAUAUCAAGAUAUGACAUCACAGCUUGAUUAAAGGCGCGAGUUGGUUAAAGAUGGGCAUGCGUCCCAUUAGUUAGUUGGGGAGGUAACGGCUCACCAAGGCGAUGAUGGGUAGGGGCUCUGAGAGGAUUACCCCCCACAUUGGUACUGAGACAGGGACCAAACUCCUACGGGAGGCAGCAGUGAGGAAUAUUGGGCAAUGGACGGAAGUCUGACCCAGCCAUGCCGCGUGCAGGAAGACGGCCUUAUGGGUUGUAAACUGCUUUUAUGUAGGGAAAAAGUUCAUAUUGCGAUAUGAUUUGAUGGUACUACAGGAAUAAGAAUCGGCUAACUCCGUGCCAGCAGCCGCGGUAAUACGGAGGAUUCGAGCGUUAUCCGGAUUUAUUGGGUUUAAAGGGUGCGCAGGCGGACUAUUAAGUCAGUGGUGAAAUUUUCCGGCUCAACCGGGACAGUGCCAUUGAUACUGAUAGACUAGAGUAUAAUUGACGUAUGUGGAAUGUAGCAUGUAGCGGUGAAAUGCAUAGAGAUGCUACAGAACACCGAUAGCGAAGGCAGCAUACGAAGCUAUAACUGACGCUCAUGCACGAAAGCGUGGGGAUCAAACAGGAUUAGAUACCCUGGUAGUCCACGCUGUAAACGAUGAUAACU